GCGUCAGUAGUGCAACGGGUUAGAGCACGCUCUCCUGCAUAGAGUGAAAUGCUGGUUCAAGUCCCGUCUGACGCA